UCAACUCUCUCACUCUCGGUUAUCUCUCUCCCUCUCAAACCAGUCGCGCCUCCCUUCCUCUUCCCUCCUCUCGCUCAGCCUCCAGGCGGCUCCGGCGCCUUCUCGUCGCCGGCACAAGCUCCUGCUGCUGUCUCUGAGAGAUUUAGGGGAGGCCACCCAAAAAUUGAGCCCUAAUUCUCCCCCUUCCGAAUCGAGCCCUAGCUCUCCCAAAAUCAAAAAUCGCCGCCGCCGCCGCCUAUGGAAGAACGGCGAACGGUCGCUGGUCGUCGCCCUGCCUGACUCGGACGCUCACUUCGCCCAUCUCCUUUCGGCUUCAAUCGUUCUUCUCUCCCUCGAAUCUAUUGAAGGAACGAAGAAGCCCCAAUUUCUGCCAGAGGAAAGAAUACCGCCUCCGCUGCAACUGGAAGGCCGGCUUCGCCGCGCCGCUGCACUCGCGGCGGCGGCCGCUGGUCGUCAGGCCGCCGGCUGCUCAUCGCCAUGGUCUCCGAAAUUCCGAUGAGAGUCGACCUCUCCUCUCUGAACUCACUACUGGUCGAGCGCUAGUUCCCUCAGCCCACUCUCGAUCUCGCCGUUGCUGCUGCAUUCCUCCCGGCGGCAGGUGAAGGCCAGUCGCCUCCGUCGUCCUCACCGAUUCCUAGGGCUCGACUGGACAGGGCAGCCGGCCCCUCUUCUAUAAGCUAAGUUAUCUACUCUCAUUCUUCUUCUACUUAAAUUUCUAGUUGUUGAUUUGCUGUUCUAGAGUGCAGAGUAUAACAAUGUAUGAAUCUUAGCCUUGCUGUGAAAUGCUAUAGAUCAUGUAUGCAUAUGUGAUUUGCUAUAUCCCUCUGUAAUAUGAAACUGAUCAUGCUUGUUAGUAUGAAAUGCGGAUGGAAUUUGAAUAACUGAGAUGGUAUGAAUACCUUGUGAAAGUUUCUGGUUGAUGGUUGUUGAUUAUAUGGGCUGGAAUGACUUGAAAAGUUCUGGCAGAGAGUGAACGAAUGCUCUCUCCUGCUUCUUGUUUGUUAAGGUCUUUAAGGGGUUGGAACUGAAAUAGAAUGUUGAUCUUUGCAUUAAUGCAGGUGGAAUUUAGAAGGUGAUGAAGAAAGUUGAAGAAGCUUACUUCCUUGAAGUUUGGCAGUAGUGCAGUAAAUGAUUUCUUCCUCCAAUGUUUCGAGUGUUGGGAUACUACUGGACUGGAGCAGCUUGAAGUCUUGGCAGAGUAGUUAAGCCAAGUCUCCCUUCUCCUUGUGAUUGCUGGUGCGAAAUGGAAGGAAUGGGUGAAGUGUUGGGGUAGUAUAAAGGGUGGAUGGAGGCUGCACACUUGAGUGUGCUAGAGGAUAGGUAGGAGGGGUAGGGAGAAUGGGAUUGGAGGAGUGGGGCGGCUGACAUAGGGGAAAGGGAAUGGUGUUGCAGAUUUUUGCACACACAUACACAUUUCUUUUUAUCUACUUUUGAUGUAGUAGGGUAGUAUGGAGUAGGAGUAGGGAGGAUGAUGCUUGUAAAUGUAGAGUGUGAUGCAAUAGGUAAAAUCAUUCUAUCUUGAUAAAUCCAAAUCUAUAAUAAUGUAUCACUUGCUCAAUGAAAUACUAGUUCCGGGUUUUUACUAAUAUCGCAUGUUUAUGCACUGCUCGAUAUCUAAUUACUCGCUUGUUAGUAUCUGUAGACUGUAAAAUAAUUCUAAAUUAAAUCCAUAG
rnacentral:lncRNA from 1 species